rnacentral:rRNA from 1 species
GACGAACGCUGGCGGCGUGCUUAACACAUGCAAGUCGAACGAAGAGCGAUGGAAGCUUGCUUCUAUCAAUCUUAGUGGCGAAUGGGUGAGUAACGCGUAAUCAACCUGCCCUUCAGAGGGGGACAACAGUUGGAAACGACUGCUAAUACCGCAUACGAUCUAACCUCGGCAUCGAGGAUGGAUGAAAGGUGGCCUCUAUUUAUAAGCUAUCACUGAAGUAGGGGAUUGCGUCUGAUUAGCUAGUUGGAGGGGUAACGGCCCACCAAGGCGAUGAUCAGUAGCCGGUCUGAGAGGAUGAACGGCCACAUUGGGACUGAGACACGGCCCAGACUCCUACGGGAGGCAGCAGUGGGGAAUCUUCCGCAAUGGACGAAAGUCUGACGGAGCAACGCCGCGUGAGUGAUGACGGCCUUCGGGUUGUAAAGCUCUGUUAAUCGGGACGAAAGGCCUUCUUGCGAAUAGUUAGAAGGAUUGACGGUACCGGAAUAGAAAGCCACGGCUAACUACGUG